CCGCCAACAUGUGGAGAGCGCAGCGUAUUAGAGCUCAUGAAAAGGCGCUUAGGCGGUUCACCAUAUCAUUGCGAUUCUUGUUACGAUGCUUGUUGUUAAUACGAUGCUUGUUGUUAGAUCUAUGUGCGGGUAUCGGUAUCGCCGUACGAAACAGAGAAGUUGUGGCCGGUUAAAAGCAAAAACUGCAUAGCGUUAAUCACAUCCCAACAAAGACAAGGAGAUAAUCUGACUAACUGUUGUGACAAGCUCGAACGGAUGAGAAGUGAAUACGAGGUUACACAGCGAAAGUUUCCACGUUGUGAAACUUUACAAAAUCUAACGGAAGUUAUUGCGCACACUUGGUAGCGUAGCGAACUGAAGCAGGUUCAAUGAGAGCAUAGUAUUACCAAGGCAGAUCUCAAUACAGGCAACCCCACUGGGGGCGGGAUUUGCAACAAAAGCGCUAGAGUAGCGCAGAUUGCCUAAGAAGUAACAACGCUGCAAAAUUCUUAAUUUGUUAAGCUUUUUAAAGCUAAUUUAUAUUUUUUUAGUCGUUUUCACUCUUUUUUUUGCAGUUGGGAUUUUAUUUCUAAUAUAAAAUAUGCAAUGGGAAGAGGUAACAUGAUUAAGUACUGUGCGGAAAGUUGCAAAAGCGGCUGUUGGAAACUUGGUUUCUGCCGGUAUACUCACUAUACUGCAAAAUUAUUACUGCACGAGUUGGCUUUAUUGAUUUUUUCCAACAAACAUUUCAAAAUCUAUGAAAAAAAUUAAAAGAAUUAAUUGGUACUAAUUUACAUGGAGAAUACCGAGAUACGUAUAAUCAUUAAACACGCAUCGAAGAUUUGCAGUACUGUAAUAUAACACUACAUUCGUAUGGGGAAAUUAUUAAGAAAAAAUAGUGGGAAAUUGAUUUUUAGUCGUGCACGCUAAACAUUUAAGGGUGUUUUGAUUUAAAAAAUAGAGGAAGUUAAUACGCGUAUUUUGCAGUUCGAAUCCCGUUCAACACAAACAUAAAAAGUGAGAAAACCGAUUUUCCGCAUCGUUUUACCAGAGCCGCGCUUAAAUAUGCGAGCUACUCUAGUGAUGUCGUAACAGACUAACAGGCCACGGAUAUUGCCUGUAUUGAGACCUGCCCUGGUACAGUAUUACCAUGCUCUCGUUCAAUACGCACCGGAAGUGCAGCAUGGGCGCGAAGCAGGCGCCCGCCAGCGUCGAGCAGCCAAGUUAUGCAACAUGGAUAAACAUUAAACGCGCUUUGAUUUCAGCGUUCUGGUUUUUACUUCACUUUCAGCGAUUGUAUGCCAGUUGCAAAUUUUUCAGAAUUGAAAAAAUAAAACAAAAAUGUAGAACCAAAACACAGAGCGAUGAAAUAAAAACCAAAAAAAUAUAUAAACCACAACGCAGACCCGAAGUGGCGCAAAGCGUACUUCGUGGCGUAGCGAGCGGAAGCCUCUACAAACCGGAAGCGAAGUGCGCGCGCGAUGCAAGCGCCCGCCUUGAGCUGAGGGCAACGUUAAUAAACAUAAACAAACACGCUUCUUUGGAACUUCUGACUGCAGCGAUCGUUUGUGUUUGAUUGUAACAGAUUGUUUAUCAGAUGCAGAUUUUCUAAAAUCGAACUCAGAUUUCAUGUGAGAAAUUUUCAAUAUUUUCGCUCUCUCUUUUUCGCGAAUUAUGAAUUUACAACUUAGGAAUUGAGAUUUAUUUUGAAUCUGAAAGAUUGUCCUAGCGUUCAGUAAUUAGGAGAUUUUUCGUGUUGAUCUCAACGAUCUCACCCAGUCGUAAAUCGAACCCAUCGAAAAUGAGCGAUUCCGAGAAGAGCAGCGCGGGUGAAAAGCCCAAACCCACCAAGAAGCCCGUCUCCGACGGCGAGGACGAUGACGGAUCUCCGAAGAAGAAGGCCGCGGUAUCGGCGGACGCUGUGACGGCUGGCGAACAGCAGUCGCUGCUGCAGCAGGCCUCCGCAGGGGUGGUGGGCGGGGCGAGUAAGUACGUGCCGCCGCAAAUGCGCCAGAUGCAGCAGCUGCCCCUGCAGCAGGUUCUCGGGGCAUUCCAUUCACUAGGGGGCUUUACCCGCCAGUUCUCCACUGAAGCGGCGACCGAUGCCUCUGCCACGGUGUCGCUGGCCACUCUGACGGCGUCCCAAAAGCUACAGCCGACACGUCAACAGCAGCAGCAUCAGUCCGCCGGGGUGGUGGACGGGGCGAAUACGUAUGUUCCGCCGCCCAUGCGCCGGAUGCAGCAGGGUUUCGGGGCCUUCCCGCGCCUGGGGGGCUAUGCCGCCGACGGGUAUGGGGCGGGGCAGGCCGUCGCAGGUGCUGUAAUUCCGGGGAUGAUGGAGGGCGCCGCGCCGGUGACGAUGUUCUAUCCCGGGAUGCAGAACGCCUAUCUGGCGCAGGGCAUGACCAACCCGCAGCAGGCGUACACCGCGUACACCCAGCCAUCCCAAGCCCAAAUGUACCAGCAGCCGCAGCGUCCCGGCGGUGCCGCGGAUGCCCAGCACAACCAACAGCGCCAUUUCAACAGCGCCGCUACCGCCGCGGGCUGCACGGCUGCCGGCAGCACCGUCGUCAGGGAAGUAGGCGGCGCCGGCGGAUACGGUCAGCAGCUGCAUGAUGGUGGCUCCAGUGGAAAUCAGCUCGAAGGGAGUAAUGUGCAGAAGUUCACUCCGGAAGAGUGGAAUUCGCCGCUUCCGCGGGAUCACGUUCUGGAAGGGUACAUCCGUACAUGCGAUGAUUGCAGGAUUUUCCUUGGCGGUUUUUUCAGUUUUUGUGGAUUUGUAUGGUUUUUACGUACUUUAAAAACUUUAAAAUUCGGUGUUGAAAUUAUUGCUGUAUUCAUCUGAAUCACUUUUAAUUGUUAUUUAAAUAAGUAAAUUAUAAUAAUGACAUCGAAAUACACUGAAAAAUUAUGAACUACGUAUUUAUUUGUAAAAUGGAAUUGAACUGCAUAAAUAAAAACAUUUAAUUAUUUCGAAAAUUACAUGAAUGACAUUGAUAAAGACCUUUAAAUCAAAAUUAAAUUGAUGGCCUUUUCGAUAAUCAGUGCUUAUGAUUUAAUUAUUAUCGUAAUGUGCAGAUUAAUUGUGUUAAUGAUAACUUGUGCUUUUCUGGAACUGGAUGCAUGAUAUUAAGCGAAUUAACUGGCUAUUCUUGAUGUAUGUCUGGAAAUCGGCAAUGGAAUGCAUCGUAGUGCACUGGAGUUGAUUACGAAAAUUGUACCGGAAAUCGGACAUUGACUUCGACAAGUUUAAGGAUAC